AUAAGGUAAAAUAGGAUAAGGUUAAGUAAAGAUAAGGAUAAAAAGUAAGAAAAGGAUAAGAGGGAAAAUAAGGGAAUGGCAAGGCUAUGGCACAGGACACAGGCAAUUAGAAAUUAAGUAAGGAUAAGGUAGGAAAUCGGAAGAGAGU
rnacentral:lncRNA from 1 species